CGUCUUACUUCCCAGCUGCUUCACCGGCGGCGACGGCGGUGCGCGGCGGCGGAGGUAGCUAGCUAGCUAGGCGGGUGUCAGGCCGUGUAGGGCAACUAUACAUCUUUGGCAAAUGUCUUCUUCUUCCUCCUCCAUGGGAGGAUUGUAAUGGAGUGUG
rnacentral:miRNA from 1 species